ACAAAACCGAUAUUUAUUCGUGGACACUCACACAACUUCGAACUCCUAUAAAAUAUAUAUUAAUUGCACGUGAGUUGUAGAAUUUUAAAAUAUACAUACAUCAGUUGUCAUGCGUGUGAACGAAAUGGUAAACCCGGAACCUUUGGAGAAGCCACGAGGGAGAGAAAUAAGAGUUGCACGUCACGUGUUGCAGUAUUAUUAGUCGUUUCUGCAGGUGGGGUCACCGCUCGUCUCGUUCACUCAUUCAUUUUGCACGUCGCUUCAGUUGUUUAUCUCUGAAUUAUUUAGGCAUGUCUAGCGACACGGACUAUGACACAAGGUUCGCGUCCCGGUUUAGCGCGGAGGACGCAGAGUUUCAGCGGUACAGGCAGCGCGCACCCGACACACCGCCGAUGCUUGAGGACUGGAGAACACGUGGACGCAGAGAUAACCGAGCCCCGGAGCAGCGGCAUCGUGGGGGCUACAACCGCGGGGACCGGCGCUGGCCUGAACGCAGUGAUGAACGGAGGUCCGGUCACGAUUCCUACGGCCAGAGGUCGCAUUACCGUCAUCUGUGACCCUUCAUGACCCAUGCCGUUCACUCCAUCAGUUUUCUAGUGUGCUGUAUCGUAGUCACGGACAGGCUAUUAUUAUUAUUAUUAUUAUUAUUGAAAUGGGCUGCUUGUUUGGUCUCAUAGAACUUUAAUCGUUGUGUAAAUAUAAUGUCAUUAAACAGUAACUGUAACUUCUGCCACUUAGUGAAACUCCUUGGUCUUUCAUUGCUGCUACAGUAAACAUAUUUACGAAAUGGAAUGGAACCCUAACAUGUAAAAUGUUUAGAAUAGUGGAGUAUAAAAGCUUUGAAAGUGUAAACAUAACAUAAAUCUGUGCUAAGAAUCCAAUAGGUUUUGAAUUUUCAUUCAGCUUGUAGAGCAUGUGUAUAAAUGUGAUGUGAUGCUUGUACACAGUAAUCUCUCUCUCCCCUGCAGCACUACGGUGACCUGCAUCAGAUCUAAAUGUGUAUGUGAGAUGAUGCGUGACAUUAACACAAGUGUGUGCGGCUGAUGUUCAUCUAUUUUUAUCCUUUCAGCCUCAGGCACGUGCAUCUGCACACAGCUACAGUCUUCACAACUGUCCAAUGCACUUGAAUAGAUUGUAAUUGUUUGCAAUUGUAAUUGUAUUAAGCCGAUGCAAUCAUAAAUGCAUUUUCAUAUUA